UACGUAGGGUGCGAGCGUUGUCCGGAAUUAUUGGGCGUAAAGGGCUCGUAGGCGGUUUGUCACGUCGGGAGUGAAAACUCGGGGCUUAACCCCGAGCCUGCUUCCGAUACGGGCUGACUAGAGGUAUGCAGGGGAGAACGGAAUUCCUGGUGUAGCGGUGAAAUGCGCAGAUAUCAGGAGGAACACCCGUGGCGAAGGCGGUUCUCUGGGACGGUACUGACGCUGAGACGCGAAAGCGUGGGGAGCGAACAGG
rnacentral:rRNA from 1 species